rnacentral:hammerhead_ribozyme from 1 species
AUCCAGUCGACGUGUCUGAAAUAGGACGAAACGCGCGUCUUGAAU